rnacentral:lncRNA from 1 species
AGAGCCCCGACGGCCGACCAGGGUCGGCUCCCCGGGCCGAACCCUGGAGACCCCAGCCCGCAGCUCUAGCUCCAGGAGAAGCGACCCAUCUCCGUGGCCCUUCCUCCCGUAAACUCCCACCUCCUCCCCAGGUCCCCGGCUUUAGAAAGAAGACUUGACGCCUGUGACGACUCCCCUCUUAAGCCACAGACAAUAUGAGGACCCCGGGGGUCGGCGCGACCGGGCAGGAUCGCGCCCCGCUUGGGGCUGGACCCUGGUCCACGGAGCCCCGCCCCUAGCCCCGCCCACCACACCUGCCGCCUGCUCGAGGCUUGGACACGCCCGGGUCUUCUCUUGCCCCGCGCUGCGCCACCCGACCUGGGCCCUGGGAUGGGGCAGGGGCGGGGGGUGCUCGGCCCUGCCACACUGUGUGACCUUGGGAAGAUGCUUUUGCUGCUGCCAUUUCACAGACGGGAAAGCGACAACGGCCCGCCUGGACUUGAACACAGGCCCAAGGCCUUCUGACCACUUGCCCGCCUCUGCUGGUCUUGCUGUCUGUCCCCACGGCCUUCACUACUGUGUCCCUGGUGCCUAGAACAGAGCCUGGUACAUAGAAGGUGCUCGAUGAAUGAUGAGGAAACUGAGGCCCAGAAGAGCUAAGUGUGUCUGCUCCAGGUCACAUGAAAGGAUGAGAAGGAAUAAAAUCUUUCCAGUCUGACUUUCCCUCUUGGGUUUGUCAUAACAGGCCUGGCAAUCUUUUCCCUAUCCCAUUUUCAAGAGGAGAAAACUGAGGCGAUUUGCCAAGGGGAGAUCCACGUGGCUGCUUUGACAGAGAGUGUUCUGCAAAAGGGCUUAGAAAUCAGCCAGCAGGUGGCAGGUUCUGGGACUGCAGGAGCCAUUCACAUGCGUGAAGAUCCGCUGGGCGCCCUUGCUCUGGGAUCAGGAAAGGCCGGUGCCAUGGAUGUGAUAGAUGCACACAGGGCAUCAGCAGGCCGCCGAGAGGAACCAGAGUGUCCAACGAACAGAAAACAGUGCUCAACCUUCACAUUUAUCGAAUGUUCCUUGGCACAUGCUGUAAUUCUGGCCCUAAAGACACAUUCAUGGACAAGACAAGCAAUUCCUGUUCUCGUGGAGCUGAAAUUCUCCUGGGGGAAGACAAGCACUAAACAAGAUCAAUGAUUAAAGUAUAGAUUGUAUUAGAUUCUGGUCAGCACUAUGGAGGAAAAUACAGCAGGGGAGCAGAGCAGGAGUUCUGGGAGAUUUGAUUUUUUGUUUUCUGGGGUUUUUUGUUUGUUUGUUUUUUGAGACAGGGUCUCACUGCUGGAGUGCAGUGGCACGAUCUCUGCUCACUGCAGCCUCUGCUUCUUGGGCUCAGGUGAUCCUCCCACCUCAACCUCCCAAGUAGCUGGGACCACAGGGGCAUGCCACCACACCCAGCUGAUUUUUUAAUGUUUUGUAGAGAUCAGGUCUCAUUAUAUUGCCCAAGCUGGGGGAGUUGAUUUUAACUUUAUGUUAGAGUAGUCAGGGAAGACCUCACUGAGGUGACAUUUAAGCAAAAACCUGAAUGUGGUGAAGCAGGUAUCUGGGGGACCUUGGACCACACAAAGGGAACAGCAAGUGCAAAGGCCCUGAGGUAGGAGCACGUAGUUGUGGUGAUGACGGAGAGUAGCAGGAAUUUGUGUCAUAGAAAUAGUGGGGGCUGGCCAGGCACAGCGGCUCAUGCCUGCAAUCCUAGCACUUUGGGAGGCCGAGGUGGGUGGAUUACUUGAGGUCAGGAGUCUGAGACCAGCCUGGCCAACAUGGUGAAACCCCAUCUCUACUAAAAAUUAAAAAAAAAAAAAUGGCCAGGCAUGGUGGCGUGCAUCUGUAAUCCCAGCUAUUCAGGAGGCUGAGACAUGAGAAUCACUUGAACCCGGGAGGCGGAGGUUGCAGUGAGCCGAAAUUGUGCCUCUGCACUCCAACCUGGGUGACAAAGCAAGACUCUGCCUCCAAAAAAAAAAAAAUGGAACAUGGAAACAUGGAAUGGGAGAAAAUAUUUGCAAAUCAUAUAUCUGAUAAGGGGUUCAUAUCCAGAAUACAUAAAGAACUGUUACAACUCAACAGCAAUAAAAACAACUCAAUUAAAAAUGGGCAAAGGACUUGAAUAAACAUUUCUCCAGAGAAAACUGUGAAUGGCUAAUAAUCACAUGAUAAGAUACUCAACAUCACUAACCAUUAAGGAAAUACAAACCAAAACUGCAAUGAGGCGCAACACUUUGGUGGAUCACCUGAGGUCAAGAGUUGGAGACCAGCCUGGCCGACACGGUGAAACCCCGUCUCUACUAAAAAUACAAAAAUUAGCUGGGCGUGAUGGUACGUGCGUAUAGUCCCAGCUACUUGGGAGGCUGAGGCAGGAGAAUCACUUGAACCUGGGAGGUGGAGGUUGCAGCAAGCCAAGAUCACGCCACUGCACCCCAGCCUGGGCAACUGAGUGAGACUCCAUCUAAAAAACAAACAAAACGCAAUGAGAAGAGAGGAUUUUGAAUGUUCCCGACACAAAGAAAUGAUAAACGCUUGAGGUAAUGGAUAUCCUAAUUACCCAGAUUUGAUUAUUACACGUUGUAUACAUGUAUUGAAAUAUCAUUUUGUAACCCAUGAACAUGUACAAUUAUGUGUCAACUAAAAAUAAAAGGAAUAAAACACAAUGAGAUACCACCUUACGCCCAUUAGGCUGGCUGCUGCGUUGGGAAGGAUGUGUAGAAACUGGAAUGCUUGUGUAGCUACUGUGGGAAAUGGUAUGGCUGUUCCUCAAAAAAUUAAAAAUAGAAUUACCAAAUGACCCAGCAAUUUUAUUUCUGGGUGUGUAUCCAAACGAAUUGAAAGCAAGAUCUUGAAGAGAUAUUUGUACACUCACGUUCAUAGCAGCCUUCUUCACAAUAGCCAAAAGGUGGAAGCAAUUAGCUGGGUGUGGUGGCGGGUGCCUGUAAUCCCUGCUACUUGGGAGGCUGAGACAGGAGAAUCGCUUGAACCUGGGAGGUAGAGGUUGCAGUGAGCUGAGAUCGCACCACUGCACUCCAGCCUAGGUGACAGAGCAAGACGCCGACUUAAAAAAAAAAAAAAAAAAAAAAAAAGAGGUGGAAGCCACCCGUGUCCAUCGAUGGACGAAUGGACAAAAUGUGAUGUGUCUGUACAAUAGAAUGUUAUUUAGCCUUAAAAAGUAAGGAGAUUCUGACACAGGCUACAACACGGAUGAACCUUAAGGAUAUUGUGCUAAGUGAAAUAAGCCAGUCACAAAAGGACAAAUACUGCAUGAUACCACUUACAUGAAGUGCCUUGAGUAGUCAGAUUCAUAAAGACAGAAAAUAGAACAGUGGUUGCCAGGAGCUGAGGUAGGAGGAAGUUCUUGUUUAAUGGAUAUAGAGUUCCAUCUUUGGGAAGAUGGAAAGAGUUCUGGAGAUGGAUGGUGGUGACGAUUACCCAACAGCGUGAAUGUCCUUAAUGGCACCAAACUGUGCACUUAAAAUGGUUAAUAUGGUAAGUUUUAUGUUCUGCGUAUUUUACAAUUUGAAAAAAAAGGCCAACGUGGGCCAGGCGCAGUGGUUCACACCUGUAAUCCCAGCACUUUGGGAGGCCGAGGCAGGAGGAUCCCUUGAGCCCAGGAGUUCAAG